rnacentral:rRNA from 1 species
AGAGUUUGAUCCUGGCUCAGGAUGAACGCUAGCGGCAGGCUUAACACAUGCAAGUCGAGGGGUAACAGGGAUUGCUUGCAAUCCGCUGACGACCGGCGCACGGGUGCGUAACGCGUAUGCAACCUACCUUCUACAGGGGGAUAGUCAAUAGAAAUGUUGAAUAAUACCCCAUACGAUCAUGAAUUCGCAUGGAUUUAUGAGGAAAGUUCCGGCGGUAGAAGAUGGGCAUGCGUCCUAUUAGUUAGUUGGUAAGGUAACGGCUUACCAAGACAUCGAUAGGUAGGGGUCCUGAGAGGGAGAUCCCCCACACUGGUACUGAGACACGGACCAGACUCCUACGGGAGGCAGCAGUGAGGAAUAUUGGACAAUGGAGGCAACUCUGAUCCAGCCAUGCCGCGUGCAGGAAGACGGCCCUAUGGGUUGUAAACUGCUUUUAUACAGGAAGAAUUGUGCCUACGUGUAGGUAUUUGACGGUACUGUACGAAUAAGGAUCGGCUAACUCCGUGCCAGCAGCCGCGGUAAUACGGAGGAUCCAAGCGUUAUCCGGAAUCAUUGGGUUUAAAGGGUCCGUAGGCGGUCUGAUAAGUCAGAGGUGAAAUCCUGCAGCUCAACUGUAGCAUUGCCUUUGAUACUGUUAGACUUGAGUUAUUGUGAAGUAGUUAGAAUGUGUAGUGUAGCGGUGAAAUGCAUAGAUAUUACACAGAAUACCGAUUGCGAAGGCAGAUUACUAACAAUAUACUGACGCUGAGGGACGAAAGCGUGGGUAGCGAACAGGAUUAGAUACCCUGGUAGUCCACGCCGUAAACGAUGGAUACUAGCUGUUCGACCAACAUUGGUUGGUUGAGU